UUGGCGGGUAGCAUGCAGCAGUGGCAAACGGUAACAGCUGCUGCGACAAUAGAGACUAACUACAAUAGUUGCAGCGAUUAUUUCAAGCACCAUCGUCGUCGUCGUCGUUGCAGUUGCAGUUGCAGUUGGAGUUCCGCAACGUGGCCAGAACGUUGCCGGGCAAUUAUUAUUUUGUAAGACGUUUUACAAUUUAAUGGUUUUCAUGAAUGGACUGGGAUCCGACCCUCUGUCAGCAAAGGAGGCAGAGGGCCCUCCGGUUCAAGUUGAACCAGUUGAUUUGAGUCUACGUUCGCCGCGCG